rnacentral:lncRNA from 1 species
UCCUCCCUCAGCGCAGCUUUGCAGGCGCUGGGGCUCCCAAAGGACGGAGCUUUGAAUCCACCUGGGAGGCUUAAGAGAAAGUGCUGAGUCCCCCAUGCCCUACCCCUGAGACUGCUGACAGGCAUCGCUGAGGGCUGCAGCUUUGGAAUCGGGCAUCUUCUGAGGAAGAGAAAGGCACCACAGCCACGGCACAGAAGACUAGAGACGGGUGUCACUAUGCUGCCCAGGCUGGUCUCUCGUGGCUUCAAGAGAUAUUCCCACCUUGGUCUUCCAGAGCACUGGAAUUGAAGUUCUAGGUGCAAUGUUUUAAGGGGAAGACUUACACUAUGAAGCUAGCCCAGAAGAGGGUGACUAGAGUACUGAGGAGUUUCUACCUGGAAGGGCUGUAAGGAAGACAACUGCUAUGUUGUGAGCGGCUCUAUGGAGAGGCCCAUGUGGAGGGAAGUGAGGAAGGCCUCUGGCCAACAGUCCAGGAGGAAGUGAAGCCCUCAGUCCAACAGCCUGUGUGGAACUGAACCCUGCAAACAACUCUGUGUGUGAGCUUGGAAGUGGAUCCAUAUUCAGUCAAACCUUGAGAUGGGACACCAUGCUCUGCUAACACUUGAUUGUGGUCCCAGCUAGGCCACUGCUGAAGUCUUGACUCAGAGAAACGAUGAUAUAGUAAAUGUUUGUUGUUUCAAGUUGGUAAGUUUUGGGAUAAUUUUUUAUAUAGUGAUAAUUUUUUAUAUACUUUAAAAUAACACAUUGCCCUAUCCUUUGGUUACACUUUUCUCUUGGAACUCUGCUUGCCCAUAUAUUACAGAAAUAUUUUUCAGAUCAUGGGCUGAAAGGUGGAUUAUGGAUGCAAUGUUUAAAUUUAGCAAUGUCAUUUAUGACUGUUCAUAUGAGCUUUGCUGCAUAAAAUGUUGAUAUUAAUUUGUUUCCCUUUAAGACAUUCUUAAUGUUUACCUCUCAGUAUUUUCUUUGUAAUCAAUUAAUGUAAGAUGAAUAUAGUUUGUAGGUUUUACCUUUCUUGAUUCGUAUACAAAACACACAACAUCCAACCAUUGUUAUUUAAAGAUUAUCUAGGAGGAGAUGAUGGAAACUCUGUUUUGGGCCACCUUCUUUACACAUUGGGUCUAUUUCCCCUAACUUGAGUAUAUAUUAAACUAGUGGGGGAUUGAGCUACAAAAAUGCUACUUGGUGAGAAUUUUAUUAAUACAAAUACUCAACUCUGAAGUUACGUUUUUGUGGAAAGUUAUCACUUUGGAAUUUGAAUUUUCUUGGAGCUAAGCCACUGGUAGUUGUAAAAGCUACACCUGUAAAUUUGCUCCCUAGAAGAUACUUUCGUUUAGUGACCACUUGUUUCUCUGUGGAUAAAUUCAAUUAUAAAUUACAAUCGAAUUGACGUUUUCAUAGCAUCCUUCACUCUCCAAGUAUCUCAAGUCCUCUGUGAAUUAUAAAGUAAUUACAGUGCUCAAAGGACAGUUUCAUAAUUGUGUCCAUGAGCACAGACUUUCCUCUAUGUUCGAGAAGGGCUCAUUCCCAGCCGGGAACAUUAAGUUGGAUUUUAUUGAGACUGGGGACUGCUAGUCCAGACAGCUGGGUGAUCCCCUGCGCUAUUUUGAAAAGUAUCCUGGGAUCUUUAAUUUCCACCUGGAUGGUCAGGGAGGUGAGAGAACGGCCCUCACUGGGUGUGACCUUGUAUCCCACUUGGGGUCUUGAACCAGGGGACCCCCAACCCCAGAGGUGAGACAUGCAAUAUGGUCAAUUAUACAACCUCUUAAUUAUUUUUUGCUGAAUCUCAAGUGAGUUCUCAUGGCCUGCUCUCUCCCGGGUGGGUUCAGAAGGUGGCCAAGAAGAAAUGUUAGAAAAUUCCCAGAGAGCCAUUUCAUGAGAAUGUUUUCUUUGGUUUAUACCUGAUACUGUUUUGUUUUUGUUGUUGCUUUUUAAUAACUUUUUUUUCUUUUUGUGGGGUCAUUUGCGUAAUACACAGGUGACGAACACUCAAGGUUAUUUGGUCGCAUGCCACCAAAUAACUUUCCUUUGGCACAUCUGCAGUGAAGGAGUCUUUCUGUCUGUCUCCUUUUGUUCCUCAUCAUCUAUUAGCUUGGCACAGCUGACUGAGCUGUUAAAUGAUUACUGCAUAUUUUGUACCUCACCUUGAGAGGCUUUGGUAUAAAAAGGUGCUAAUUAAGCUGAAGCUUCUGGCCCUCUUGCCUAUGUGGGCCCCAGGAAGCGAAGCAAAAAGACUUUAGGGAGCUGGAGCUUGUGUGUGUGUGUGUGUGUGU